rnacentral:rRNA from 1 species
AUGCCUCUCUCGCUCGGCGCCGACCACCUCGCCGCGCCCGGCGCGCGCGCUCCGCCUGCGCGGGUGGGCACGGGCAUGGGCAUGGACACGUCCCUCUCGCUGGGCGGUGCCGCCGCCUACCUCCCGCUCAACGAGAACGACUCCCUCGACAUGCUCCUCUUCGACGUCCUCCGCGAGGCCUCCGCCGUGGCCGCCGCCUCGCCCUCCUCGUCCUCCUCUCCCCCGACGAAGACGGCGACGGCCAUUGCCGCCGCUGGCGCCGACGCGAUCGAGGGCGGCGGGGCAUGCGCGGCCGGGAGGGCCGCGGAGCGCCCGCACUACCGCGGGGUGAGGCGGCGGCCGUGGGGCAAGUACGCGGCGGAGAUCCGGGACCCGUCGCGGCCCGGCACGCGCCUGUGGCUCGGCACCUUCGGCACGGCCGAGGAGGCGGCCGUCGCGUACGACCGCGCCGCGUUCCGCCUGCGCGGCGCCAAGGCGCUGCUCAACUUCCCGCCGGCCGUGGGGGCGCACGAGGCGCGCCGCGGCGGCGCCAAUGAGGCGAGGUGA